AAAAAUACAACCCCUAUCCGUCUUUGGGAGCCCAUAUGUCAGACAAAUUGUUAUAGUCUUAUACGUUUAGUUCAUGCGCAUACUAGACCGCCAAUCGAUUUGAGUAUGAAUCUAAUACAAACUGUUGACCUAAUCAAGCCCAAUUAAACACCUCAAAAAUAAGUUGAAGAUUCGCCCGCUCUAACAUCCUUUGCUUACACAUACUUAGUUGAUAGAAUCUAUAUAUAGAGCAAAUGAAGUACUCGG
rnacentral:lncRNA from 1 species